AAUAUUGUCAGCUAAUAAAGCUAAUGAGUUCAUACCUCAUAAAUGGAAUUAUUA
rnacentral:tRNA from 1 species